AUCUGACUUAGCUCAGUUUAUUAGAGUGUGGUGAUUAUAAUGCCAAGGUUGUAGGUUCAAGCCCCAUGUGGGACA